UACGGAGGGUGCAAGCGUUAUCCGGAAUCACUGGGUUUAAAGGGUGCGUAGGCGGCUAUGUAAGUCAGUUGUGAAAUACCUCGGCUUAACCGAAGGAAGUGCGAUUGAUACUGCGUAGCUUGAAUCAGGCUGAGGUAGGCGGAAUGUGACAUGUAGCGGUGAAAUGCUUAGAUAUGUCAUAGAACACCGAUUGCGAAGGCAGCUUACUGGGCUUUGAUUGACGCUGAGGCACGAAAGCGUGGGGAGCAAACAGG
rnacentral:rRNA from 1 species